rnacentral:tRNA from 1 species
GGAUAGCUCAGUUGGUUGAGCAUGAGACUCUUAAUCUCAAGGUUGUGGGUUCGAGCCCCACAUUGGGGAAACG